rnacentral:misc_RNA from 1 species
GAUGAAGAACGUAGUGAAAUGCGAUACUUGGUGUGAAUUGCAGAAUCCCGUGAACCAUCGAGUCUUUGAACGCAAGUUGCGCCCGAAGCCAUCAGGUUGAGGGCACGUCUGCCUGGGCGUCACAUAUCGUUGUCCAAUGCCUAUUGCAGUGCAAUAGGAAUUUCUAGGGCGAAUGAUGGCUUCCCGUGAGCGUUGUUGCCUCGCGGUUGGUUGAAAAUCGAGUCCUUGGUAGGGUGUGCCAUGGUAGAUGGUGGUCGAGUUAGAACGAUACCGAUCAUGUGCAUGCUCCCCAAAAUAUGGCCUCUAUGACCCACACGCGUCUUUUGACGCUCAUGACGAGACCUCAGGUCAGGCGGGGCUACCCGCUGAAUUUAAGCAUAUCAAUAAGCGGAGGA